rnacentral:rRNA from 1 species
UCAUCCGGGGGUAAGAACACAGGGAUUGCCCUAGUAACGGCGAGUGAAGCGGCAACAGCUCAAAUUUGAAAUCUGGCCCUUUUGGGGUCCGAGUUGUAAUUUGUAGAGGAUGUUUCGGCGUUGGCUCCUGUCUAAGUUCCCUGGAACGGGCCGUCAUAGAGGGUGAGAAUCCCGGAUGCGGGCGGAUGCCUUUUCCAUGUGAAUCCCCUUCGACAAGUCUAGUUGUUUGGGAAUGCAGCUCUAAAUGGGAGGUAAAUUUCUUCUAAAGCUAAAUACCGGCCAGAGACCGAUAGCGCACAAGUAUAGUGAUCGAAAGAUGAAAAGCACUUUGGAAAGAGAGUCAAAAAGAACGUGAAAUUGUUGAAAGGGAAACGCUUGCAACCAGACUUGUCCGCACAUGCUCAGCCGUUCUCUUGACCGGUGCACUCUUCUGAGGGCAGGCCAGCAUCAGUUCGGGCGGUCGGACAAAGGCCUCUGUAAUGCGUCUCCUCCCGAGGAGUGUUCUUGCCAGGCGUGCUGUGACCACCCUCGGGUGUGGGGCGCCCGCUUGGUUGGGGGUGUGGGGGAAGUGUGUGAGCGGGCCCCCCCUAAAAACACAGCCAACGGACUUUCAUAUCUGUGCGAGUGUGGGUGUCCCGCACCCGCGCGCAAAGAAAAAGAGAGCAGGGGGGGGAACCCCCGUGGGCCCUCCAUCGAUCCAGACUGAUUUCUUCGGAUGGAUUUGAGAACAAACCUAUCUGGGACGCACACACAAAGAGGGAUAUCUAUGACUGAAUAGGGACACAGACAGAACACACUCUGGGGGGACGCUCGCAGCUCAUCUGACAUACAAAUCGAUAUCUGAGUUUGGGGGUAGGGAGAGAAUAACUAAUCUAUCCCUCUAUGGGGUCGUCCCCGCAGAACUCUCCCGAAAAAUAAA